GAUGAAGAACGUAGUGAAAUGCGAUAAGUAAUGUGAAUUGCAGAAUUCAGUGAAUCAUCGAAUCUUUGAACGCACAUUGCGCCCGCCAGCAUUCUGGCGGGCAUGCCUGUUCGAGCGUCAUUUCAACCCUCGACCUCCCUUUGGGGAAGUCGGCGUUGGGGACCGGCAGCACACCGCCGGCCCUGAAAUGGAGUGGCGGCCCGUCCGCGGCGACCUCUGCGUAGUAAACCAACUCGCACCGGAACCCCGACGUGGCCACGCCGUAAAACACCCAACUUCUGAACGUUGACCUCGAAUCAGGUAGGACUACCCGCUGAACUUAAGCAUAUCAAUAAGCGGAGGA
rnacentral:misc_RNA from 1 species